UCGGUGCUCGGCCCGGGCCCUCCCCGCGCGGCCUCGCGCUGUCUGGGCCCGGCCGCGUCUGCUCCCGAGCGGCGACGCGGGCACAGCGUGACUCAGGAGUUCGGAGAGACGUGUCAGGUGAAGGGCACGCAGUGUAAUCAAGGUCCAAAGAAGCGAUGCCAGUGAUGGAUAAAUGAAGCAUGGAAUGAUUAAGUGACUACACCAAGAUUGGACAGAGAUUAAGAGGCAAAGCCAGAAUCUUAAUCCCUAAAGCCUGGUUUGGUUGUCAAAACUGCAAGGAGGUUUCCACCUAGGUCCAGUUGCUUGUCACACAAAGAUCCAGUUAUUGAGACAACGAGGAUUGCCAAAGAAGAAAGGAAUUUUUAAUAUGGUGGAGCUGCCUCAGAUGUCUCCCCAGCUAAAGGUCACCAAGGGUUUUAAAGGAGGGGCCCCUGCCUUGGGGCAGGUCAUGGUGUAACUGACUGGAGGCUGCAGGCAUUGAGAGCAGGUUGUGAGGAUGGUGAAUCUUGGCAUCAGGAACUCUGCCCUUGGGGCCUUCAGAAUCUCACCUCCUUUGUCUGGUGGAAAAUCCACCAUUUCUGGGAAAAAACUCAAAAAGUCAAAUACUUAGUUAAGGAAGAGGAUUAUAAAAAUACAUUUAUAAGUCAUUGAAAUUCUUUCAUCUAGCAGAUUAUAGUUUCAGGCUCUUAACCAUUAAUUAAUGCUCUCUUUUUCACUUCUCAUUAUAGUGACCUAAUCAAAAUUAUUAUAUAAUCGUAUGUGGAAGAUGGGUGGGCAUGAGAAAUAUUCAGAUGUGUGAUGGUAGCAGAGGUAGAGAUGGUGGUGGUAAAAAAAGAGCCUCAUAUUCAUCUUCUAUAAUAGCAAGUCAAUAGAUAAUGUUCCAAACUGAAAAUAAAAAUCAAGAAUAGCAACAUAUGCAUGCUAUUUGGAGAAAUGUAGGUUUAAAAAUGUCAGCUAAAAAGCAGAGUGUAGAAAAUGUGUGUGUGGUGCGAAGGUGCUAGUUUUCUUCCUGAUACUUGUGGAGCUAUUUGACUUUUUAAUCUAUAUGGAUAGAUAGAUUUGAUUUAAAAGUAAAAACUAUAUAAGAAGUAAGAGCAAAAACUUUUUCCAUUUGGUGUUUGAAGUCUGAGAAAGUUGAGUAUAAAACAGGCUGUAAUUCAGGUCUCUGCACAUUCCAUUACUUCCAUACAACUUAGCCUCCAACACCAAAAAAGAAAGAGAACAUAUUUUGGUAAAUUAAGUGGGUAAUGUGCUAAGUGCACAGUGGGCAUUCUCAUGGUUGUGAUUACUAACCUGUUACUUGACUCUUGCUGAAUUUUUGUCCCCAUUAAAUUGGAUUUCCAUUUAGCAACUUUGGUAUGUACUGAGUUUGAAUUUACAACUCUUUAGGAGAGGGAGAGGAUAGGACUCAACUUUACCACUUAUAAUUGUUAGGUUUACUUAGAGUGGGAACCCCAAAAAUAUGUAUAGGACGUAAUACUUAGAUAGUGAUCAUAAAGCCUGUGAAACAAAAGCUGCAGGAGUCUGGAGAGUCCGGAAGUUAUAAAUCUAACAGACAGCUACGACAGCAUUCCUAUUUCUGCUAAUAAGGAGGAAGUUACUACCUCCCUCCUCUAUCUCUGCAGGUGUUGCUCACUUCUCCUGCAAAACCCUCUAUUAAACCCAAGGCUUUCCCCUCCCUCGUAGUAGACACUCUUUUGGCCUCCACCCAUCUACACCCAGAUAUUCAAAAUAAACAACAUUUUGCUACACCUGAGACUUGAUAUGUCUCCCUCUUGACGACACUGGACCUAACACAAGAAUUAGUAUUACUAUUGUAGGAGAGAGCAGGCCCUAGUGUCACGCAAGAGAGAGGUCUAAAAGAGAUCCUAUGUGGGGGUGUUUGAUGCACAAACUGGAACUCAAGAAAAGUUUAGAUACUUGUAGCUCUAACGUCAUGUAUCCAACAGAAACAGCGAGAACCAAAGGGCGCCAUGAACAAUUGAAGGCUGAAUACUGGGCAUCCUACAAAUAGAGAAGAGAGGAAAGUCUGCCUCAUUUCAUAAUUUUGUCGCAUCUGUUCUGCAAAUUAAGGGCUUUUAAAGCCUGGGCAUAAUGCGAACCAAUCCAAAGAACCAAAACUGGAGGACCAGAGAAAAGAGAUGUGAGUUUAUUCAGAGAACGCACAUGCCAGGGCACUGGUGGCAGCAGGCUGGGCAGUUCUCUGUGCUGCACCCAGAGACAGCCAGUGGUUAUAUAGGCAAAGAGACAUCAACUUGGGGGAUGGGGUGUGCAUCACCAGGUAUGGUGGGGCCGUCCUCCAUAAAGGUCAGCACGGUCUAAGUCUUGCACCAGGGGAAGGGGCGGGGGCAGUGCCCUGUGGAUUUCUUUGUUUUAGCUUUCUUUUUUUUUUUUUUUUUUUUUAAACUCUUUGGGCCUCCUUGAGCUGGAUUGGUGCCAGGAACUUCAGUUACCCCACAGGAUCUUAAAAGGUACAUUAUCCUUUUUUCCACCUCAGAAA